rnacentral:rRNA from 1 species
GAGAGCUUGCUUUCUCGAGCGAGUGGCGAACGGGUGAGUAACGCGUGAGGAACCUGCCUCAAAGAGGGGGACAACAGUUGGAAACGACUGCUAAUACCGCAUAAGCCCACGGGUCGGCAUCGACCAGAGGGAAAAGGAGCAAUCCGCUUUGAGAUGGCCUCGCGUCCGAUUAGCUAGUUGGUGAGGUAAUGGCCCACCAAGGCAACGAUCGGUAGCCGGACUGAGAGGUUGAACGGCCACAUUGGGACUGAGACACGGCCCAGACUCCUACGGGAGGCAGCAGUGGGGAAUAUUGCACAAUGGGGGAAACCCUGAUGCAGCGACGCCGCGUGGAGGAAGAAGGUCUUCGGAUUGUAAACUCCUGUUGUUGGGGAAGAUAAUGACGGUACCCAACAAGGAAGUGACGGCUAACUACGUGCCAGCAGCCGCGGUAAAACGUAGGUCACAAGCGUUGUCCGGAAUUACUGGGUGUAAAGGGAGCGCAGGCGGGAAGACAAGUUGGAAGUGAAAUCUAUGGGCUCAACCCAUAAACUGCUUUCAAAACUGUUUUUCUUGAGUAGUGCAGAGGUAGGCGGAAUUCCCGGUGUAGCGGUGGAAUGCGUAGAUAUCGGGAGGAACACCGGUGGCGAAGGCGGCCUACUGGGCACCAACUGACGCUGAGGCUCGAAAGUGUGGGUAGCAAACAGGAUUAGAUACCCUGGUAGUCCACACCGUAAACGAUGAUUACUAGGUGUUGGAGGAUUGACCCCUUCAGUGCCGCAGUUAACACAAUAAGUAAUCCACCUGGGGAGUACGACCGCAAGGUUGAAACU